GCUGUCUUCACCAUUUGUUCAUUCAUGCUUUACUGGGCAGGGCUACUGAAAGGUGCUGGGAAGGACAUUUUUCAAGGAGGAGUUCAGGUGCUGAUGAAGGAAGCGACGAUUCUUGCCCGUCAGAUGAAGCCUGGAGCUUCUACAAUUGGACAUGAGACGACAUGUUGAUUCAAAAAGAUCAAUUCGCAUGGGGAGAAAAGCUUUCGUUUUGGCCUUGAUCGUCCGGAUGCUCCGUCUUCUUCGUUUUCCUUUUGGUGAUGUUUUUUGAGUAGUACUGUAGCGGCUUGUGUGAGCGAGUUAAACUUAGCUUCCUCCUUUAUGCUCGGUCUGUAGCGAGUUUUCCUGAUGAUGCUUCAUCCUGCCUCCUGUUCUAUCAUUUCUCCUUUAUCUGUAUGUUUAGAUGCUGAUGCAGAC
rnacentral:rRNA from 1 species